rnacentral:rRNA from 1 species
CAUAGGUGGCAAACGUUAUCCGGAUUUAUUGGGCGUAAAGGAUGCGUAGAUGGCGGAAUAAGUUAUCAGUAGAAGCUAGGCUCAACUUACGGAAGCUGAUAAUACUAUUCUGCUAGAGGACAGGAGAGGUUGGCGGAACUCUAUGCGUAGGGGUGAAAUCCAUUGAUCUAUAGAGGACCACCAAAAAAGGCGAAGGCAGCCAACUAUUCUGCUCCUGACAUUGAGGCAUGAAAGCGUGGGGAGCAAAACGGAUUAGAUACCCGUGUAGUCCACGCCCUAAACGAUGAGCAUUAGACAUUAAGAAGCGAAUUAGUGUCGCAGCUAACGCUUUAAAUGCUCCGCCUGGGUAGUACGAUCGCAAGGUUG